rnacentral:rRNA from 1 species
GAUGAACGCUGGCGGCGUGCCUAAUACAUGCAAGUCGAGCGAACAGACGAGGAGCUUGCUCCUCUGACGUUAGCGGCGGACGGGUGAGUAACACGUGGAUAACCUACCUAUAAGACUGGGAUAACUUCGGGAAACCGGAGCUAAUACCGGAUAAUAUAUUGAACCGCAUGGUUCAAUAGUGAAAGACGGUUUUGCUGUCACUUAUAGAUGGAUCCUCGCCGCAUUAGCUAGUUGGUAAGGUAACGGCUUACCAAGGCAACGAUUCGUAGCCGACCUGAGAGGGGGAUUCGGCAAAACGGAAAUGAGACAAGGGCCAGAAUCCUAAGGGAGGCAGGAGUAGGGAAACCUCCGCAAUGGGCGGAAGCCUGAAGGAGCAAAGGCGGGGGAGGGAAGAAGGUCUUCGGAUUGUAAAACCCUGUUAUUAGGGAAAAAAAAAAGGGUAAAGAAACAAGCAAGGUUUGAAGGGAACUAAUCAGAAAGCCACGGCUAACUACGUG